rnacentral:rRNA from 1 species
UACGGGGGGGGCAAGCGUUGUUCGGAAUUACUGGGCGUAAAGGGCUCGUAGGCGGCCAACUAAGUCAGACGUGAAAUCCCCAGGCUCAACCUGGGAACUGCGUCUGAUACUGGAUGGCUUGAAUUCGGGAGAGGGAUGCAGAAUUCCAGGUGUAGCGGUGAAAUGCGUAGAUAUCUGGAGGAACACCGAUGGCGAAGGCAGGUCUCUGGGCAUUAACUGACGCUGAGGAGCGAAAGCAUGGGGAGCGAACAGG